rnacentral:rRNA from 1 species
GAGGUAGUGACAAGAAAUAACAAUACGGGGCUUAACGUCUUGUAAUUGGAAUGAUGGGAAUCUAAACCUCUUCCAGAGUAUCAAUUGGAGGGCAAGUCUGGUGCCAGCAGCCGCGGUAAUUCCAGCUCCAAUAGCGUAUAUUAAAAUUGUUGCAGUUAAAAAGCUCGUAGUUGAAUUUCUGCCGCCCCGCCUCUGCCCCUCGACGGGCGUUUGCGCCGCGGCUUUUUCGGAUUAUGCUUGCAUUUUCCGAGUGUUACUUUGAGAAAAUUAGAGUGCUCAAAGCAGGCUUUUGCCUUGAAUAGUUUAGCAUGGAAUAAUAGAGUAGGACUUUGGUUCUAUUUUGUUGGUUUUAGGUACCAAAGUAAUGGUUAAUAGGAACAGUUGGGGGCAUUCGUAUUUAACUGUCAGAGGUGAAAUUCUUAGAUUUGUUAAAGACGAACUACUGCGAAAGCAUUUGCCAAGGAUGUUUUCAUUAAUCAAGAACGAAAGUUAGGGGAUCGAAGA